GACGAACGCUGGCGGCGUGCCUAAUACAUGCAAGUCGAGCGGACAGAAGGGAGCUUGCUCCCGGAAGUUAGCGGCGGACGAGUGAGUAACACGUGGGCAACCUACCCUGUAGAUCGGGAUAACAUCGAGAAAUCGGUGCUGAUACCGGAUAAUCAUUUGAAGUGCAUGCUUCGAAUGUAAAAGAUGGCUCCGGCUAUCACUACGGGAUGGGCCCGCGGCGCAUUAGCUAGUUGGUAAGGUAAUGGCAUACCAAGGCAACGAUGCGUAGCCGACCUGAGAGGGUGAUCGGCCACACUGGGACUGAGACACGGCCCAGACUCCUACGGGAGGCAGCAGUAGGGAAUCUUCCGCAAUGGACGAAAGUCUGACGGAGCAACGCCGCGUGAGUGAUGAAGGUUUUCGGAUCGUAAAGCUCUGUUGUUAGGGAAGAACAAGUGCCGUUUGAAUAAGGCGGCACCUUGACGGUACCUAACCAGAAAGCCACGGCUAACUACGUGCCAGCCGCCGCCGUAAGAC
rnacentral:rRNA from 1 species